GGACCGGUGGCUCAGUCUGGUUUGAGCAGGUGGUUCUUAUCCACCAGGGCGAGGGUUCGAAUCCCUCCCGGUCCU
rnacentral:tRNA from 1 species